rnacentral:rRNA from 1 species
AACGAACGCUGGCGGCAGGCCUAACACAUGCAAGUCGAGCGAGGACUUCGGUCCUAGCGGCGGACGGGUGAGUAACGCGUGGGAACGUGCCCUUUGCUUCGGAAUAGUCCUGGGAAACUGGGAGUAAUACCGGAUGAGCCCUUUGGGGGAAAGAUUUAUCGGCCAAGGAUCGGCCCGCGUUGGAUUAGGUUGUUGGUGGGGUAAUGGCCUACCAAGCCGACGAUCCAUAGCUGGUUUGAGAGGAUGAUCAGCCACACUGGGACUGAGACACGGCCCAGACUCCUACGGGAGGCAGCAGUGGGGAAUCUUAGACAAUGGGGGAAGUCCUGAACUAGCCAUGCCGCGUGAGCGAUGAAGGCCUUAGAGUUGUAAAGCUCUUUCAGCUGGGAAGAUAAUGACGGUACCAGCAGAAGAAGCCCCGGCUAACUCCGUG